rnacentral:antisense_RNA from 1 species
CAGAAGAACGUGUGGGCACAAAAAGCAGGAUCGAGUAGCGGUGGCUGAAGAACGAGCAGGAGCUUGAAUUUCAGUUUUCUUAUGAGGAAUUUUCCAGAAAAGAUAUCUUCACUGUGAAAUAAGUAAAUAAAUGCUCACUCAGUACAGUCACUGUCUCCCUUUUGGAACUUGAUGGCACCUUAAGCCCAGGUUUGUCUCCACUCUAGAAACUCAUCAGAGUGAUGCCCUUCUCAAAUGGGGGAGGUCCCAAAGGGGAUAUCCUGGCAGUGUGAAAGGCCAGCUAAAGAUAAGAUUUUUUUCCAGACAAAAAUAUCUGCUACAUACUUCCUUCUGUAUGAAUACAUGAGACCUACCUUCAUUCAUGUUUCCUCUAUGAAGCUUUCCCUGAGCUCCAAACACAGAGCUGAGACUUCCACCUAAUGUAGAAAGCUAGCACGAGCCGGCGCUGACAGAUGGAAGACUUGAGAUGUUACAAGAUUAUAUAUGGAAACACAAAAGGGUCUCACUCUUGUCACCCAGGCUGGAGUGCAGUGGUGUGAUCCUAGCUCACUGCAGCUAUGAUCUUCUGGGCCACGGCAAUCCUCCCACCUCAGCCUUCUGGUGGGACUCAAAGUGUGCCACCACAGCUGAUUUUUUUUUUUGGUAGAGAUGGGGACUCAUUAUGUUGCCCAGGCUGGUCUCAAACUUUUGGCCUCAAGGGAUCCUCCCACCUUGGCCUCCCAAAGAGUUUGGAUUAUAGGCAUGAGCCAACAUGCAUGGUCAAAUGCUUUUUAAACUAGUAAUUCACCUG